rnacentral:lncRNA from 10 species
AGCACAUAGCACUGGCUGGUUAUAAAGGACUUGUCUAGGGGAGAGCCUAUGGAUCUGAGAACGCUGUCUGGGCUUGGUACCAAGAGCUGGUAUUUCACAGCAGCGACCGCCUCACAGACGAGCUGUGGGAAGCAGGAGGGAGACUCUCUCUUAGGGUGCCACUACUAUGGAGACACAGCUGGGCUGAACAAGAUUUGCUUCAAACGACAACAAGAGAGACAGAAAGUAUCUGGUUCAACCGCUGCCCGAGCAGGCAGGCACCAGAAGAGCUAGCAGCCAAUCCGGCCAUGCUCGAAGCCAGCUCUGCAGCUCAGCCAAUCAGUGACAUCAUUGCUUUCUUUAGCUUGCCCAUGGUGAUGUGAAGAUGAGAAGAAAUAGCAAGGCCCAACCAGUUCUUCAUCUGGAGACAGUUCAACGUUCUGCAAACCAGAUCUUCAGGAAUUUUACUGGGAUAAUUAUCCAAAUAAAUUGCAAGCAUUCUAUCCAAAUGGACAUCCAUAAAAAUUCAUCAGAGAGCAUUUUACUACUGAGCUGCAAAGGGAAAAACUUAAAAUGGAUAUGAAAAGUGAAGAAAGUGAUCAUAGGAGAAAACCAUUUCAGGUGUCUGAUGAUUUGUGAGCCUCAAGUGACUACUCUGUGGAAUCAUCUGUCCUUGCCUUUGAAUUAGCUUUCCCUAGGCCAUGAGUCAACAUUAGUAGUUUAUACAUCCAAAUUGAUGACAAGAGCACCUCAAAGGCAGCAGCCUCAAGGAGCAGCCAUGGCCCCAGACUUGUCGCACGGAUGCAGAAAACUUAAUGGAGGAGGCUGAGGUCAGAAUGGGAAGAGUUUUUAAAAAAUAAAAAGGGGAGCUAAUAUGUGAGGAACUGAUUGCUGUGCAUUAUUUUCCACUGAACAGACCUUCUUUUAACUUCUAAUCUCAAGCACAUAGCAGCUGUUGUUUUCAUAUUAAAGAUCAGUAAGUGUUUGUUGAAUGAAUGUAUAAAUUCUUCCCCAAUCUCUGUUCCAUGUAAUAAGAACUAAGUUAGCAUUCAAUUAUAAAGAGGACUUAGAAAGUCUGCAGACAUUUUUGAUCAAAAAUCCUUUUAACUGUCUUCUUAUGGUUCCCGGUAACACCUAAGCCCAAAAAACUCAGGUCAUUUCUUGCCUGUACUGUUGCAAUAGCCUCAUAAUAACUAGUCUUCUCCUUUAUCAACCACAGUCGUCUCCGCUACACAAAGAAGAGAGGGUGCUAAUCUAAAGUGUAAAUUAUUUUAAAUCAGCACCCUUCUUGUAAUUUCCCAGUGGUUUUUCCUGUCAUAAGAAUAACAUGCAAAAUUCCUUGCUUGCAAAGCCAGGUAUGACCUUGCCCCGUCUACCUUACUGGCAUCGUCUCUCAUGACUCUUCCCCUUUUUCACUCUCCAUCUUGCCUUUUCCCAACCAUGCCUGCUAGUGAGCCUUAGCCCUUGUGUUUUCUCUGCCAGGGAUGCAUGACUGGCUUCUUUACUUUAUUCUGAUCUCUCUGCUCAAAUGUCAUCUUUUUAGAGAUAGCUUUCCUAAACAUCUUUAAAAGUACCCCAUGAACUGUGAAACACCUUUCCUGCUUUUUCUUCAUAGUACUUAUCACUUCCUGAUAUUAUGUUAGACAACAAGCAAAUAAGUAUAUGCUGUUCCCACUAAAAUAUAAGCUCCAUUUGAACAGGAGCCUUGAUUAUUCCUGAGUAUACCCCUAGUGCCCAGAACCUAGUAGGGCUUUAAUAAAUAUUAGAUUCAUUUGUUGAAUGAAAAAAUGAAUGAAUAAUUGAAUAAAGAUAUCCAGGUAGAGUGUCCGGGCAGCCCAACCUAUGUGAAGCCAGUACAAGAAUGUUUCUGUGACAUAGUGAGCGCAAUUAUUCCUCUAAAUGAUGAACUUGCAUGAGUACACAAGGAUAAAAUUAAGCACGUAGUUUAGAUUUCUGCAAGUCUCUUCCUCAGAUUGAGGAAAAACAAAGAAAUUGAGCUUAUUCUCACCUCAUUCUUACAUGAACUAAAUCCAGAAUAAAGCAUCAUUUAAAUACCAAGCACAUCCCUACCUCAGCCACUCAUGGAAUACUUUAUCUGUAAAGGGACAGAUAGAUAGUAAAUAUUUUUGGCUUUGGGGACCGUACAGUCUGUGUCGCCACUACUCAGCACUUCUGUUGAGGUGUGGAAUCAGCCCUAGACAACACAUAAACAAAUGGGUGUGGCUGUGUUCCAAUAAAAUGUUAUUUAUAAAACUAGGAAAUCAGCAGAUUUAGUCCACAGGCUGUAGUUUGCUGACCCUUGAAUUAGAGAGUCUUCCCCAAAUCCUCUUCCCAAGUUAUUGAAAGAAUGCCCAUAGGACCAUAGCUCCCUCACCUGGUUCUUUCAAGAAAUGAGACAAAUUCAGGGAUGGUUGGAGGGUGGAACGCCUACCUGUGACAUGACUAUUGAGCCUGAUUUCUUUCCUUUUAUCUCUUUAAAGUGAGUCAGGUCUUAACUUUAAACUGUCUCUAAAGUGGCAAUAACUGGGCCAUGUCAAAUACUCCCAAUGACAAAAUUUCUUCUUGGAGAAUGAAUGAGGGUUGCAUACAGUGGUGUGUUGGUAAAUGUUUAGCAACUGGCUCUCUUACUGAUUUCUGUAGUGUAAAUUCUCCCAUCCUGGCCAUCUGAAACUACCAAUAUGAUGUCACUUGAUGUAGAGUUGGGAAAAGACAGUCUCUUGAAUAAGUAUGAGCUGGUUCCAGCCCACUGCUGAACACAUAUUUAAAAGCUACAAUAGCUCUGCUCACUGCCAUUGCAGAGUCUGGAGGAAAGAGUAGCAGGCUUGAUAGGAGCAAUUGGCUGAAUAAUCUUUUGCAAUGCCAAUAAAUAAUGAAAAAGUAUAUAAAUAUAACGCUGUAUAGAAAGCUCUCAAGUUCAGUGUUUGGUUAAAAUACAUACUCAGUAAAUGGUAGCUAUUAUUGUCUUAGUUUAAGUUAUUGCAAGCAUUAAAAUUAAAUGUUUAGCUACAGACUCAAUCCAGUUUUAAUGUCAUUGUGUUAAUAAGGCCUCUUAACAUUGAAGCAACAAAGAUAAAGGAAUUUUUUUGUAGCUAUUCACGAUUCUGCCCAGCUCAAGGUAAAGAUAGCAACAAAAUACUCCAACCAGAAUAAAAGAAGUCUCCACUUGACUGCAGCUCUUCGCAACACUUCACAAGGGUCAAGCUGUGUUAGUUUCCUUCAGUGUUAAACAGAAUGCAUCUUAAGAGAAUAGUUCAAUUAUUGAUUGAAUAGUAGGUUCAAGUUGACUAUAAUCCCAACUAAUACACUCUAAGACCAGGGAUGGGCCGACAGAAGGGUAAAGUUUUCCACUCAAGUCUCGAGGCAAACACUCAGAUAGAAGUAGUAAUAUGGAUGCCUUCUAUUAUUUGGUCACAUACAAUACUGUUCCAGCCCAGUUGUGCAAAACUGGUGAAAUAAAAGGCAAAAAUAUUGACAACAGUUUGGGUAACUGGAUUCCAAAAUGGGCAUCCAUCUAAGAG